CUUAAGGGGCUCCGUAGAGAAAAAAACCUUGAUAAGCUGAGUUCACUCCACUAGCUAGCUAUGGUGGCUGUGUGGAUCUGACGUUGUCAGAGACGCAUAUGAAUGUAUAGUAAAUUGUCUUGCUCCCACAACAAUGCAGGCUAAUUAAGACUGGCGGUGGUAACGGCGUCAGCUCACCUGUCAUUCUGCACCCGGAGUUUCAUGGUAAGCUAUCGGUCCCCAUCUAAUACAAUGUCCAAGUCGCCAGACGAAACAAAAC